GCUGCAAUGUCCCCCUCGACGUCCCCAAAUCUCUGGGCGUAGAGGUCACCGAUGUCCCCACACCUUCAGGUCUUCGGCCAUAGAGGUCAACAGCGUCCCCCGAUCCCAAAUCUUUGGGCAUUGGGAUUGCGGGAUUCCGAUUUCCAGGCAUGGAGGUCAACGACGUCCCCUGAUGUCCCCAAAUGGACGCGGAGGUCAACGACGUCCCCCACAUCUCCACACGUUGGGGGUCUCGGGACCCCCAUCUCCAAACACGGAGGUCAGCGACGUCCCCGGACGUCCCCAAAUCUUGGGACAUGGGGGGUGUUGGGACCCGGAUCUCCGCGCAUAAAGGGCAGCAGCGCCCCCCAAUGUCCCCAAAUCUUUGCGCUUUGGAUCCAUAUAUCUCCAGCCAUUGAGGUCAGCAGCAUCCCUUGACGUCUCCAAACCUCCAACCAGGGGGGGGUACAUCUCCAAACCCCCAACCAUGGGGGGGGGGGACGUCUCCAAACCUCCAACUGUGGGGAGGGGGUACAUCUCCAAACCUCCAACCAGGGGGGGGUACAUCUCCAAACCCCCAACCAUGGGGGGGGGGACACGUCUCCAAACCUCCAACCAGGGGGGGGGGGGGACGACGACGACUCCAAACCUCCAACCGGGGGGGUGGGGACGUCUCCAAACCCCCAACCAGGGGGGGUCGUCUCCAAACCUCCACCGGGGGGGGGUACCUCUCCAAACCCCCAACCAGGGGGGCGCCCACCCCAAUCCCUUCUGGUCCCCCCCCCGCCCCGUUUUGCAC
ensembl:lncRNA